GAUGAACGCUGGCGGCGUGCCUAAUACAUGCAAGUCGAGCGAACGGACGAGAAGCUUGCUUCUCUGAUGUUAGCGGCGGACGGGUGAGUAAUACGUGGAUAACCUACCUAUAAGACUGGGAUAACUUCGGGAAACCGGAGCUAAUACCGGAUGAUAUUUUGAACCGCAUGGUUCAAAAGUGAAAGACGGUCUUGCUGUCACUUAUAGAUGGAUCCGCGCUGCAUUAGCUAGUUGGUAAGGUAACGGCUUACCAAGGCAACGAUGCAUAGCCGACCUGAGAGGGUGAUCGGCCACACUGGAACUGAGACGCGGUCCAGACUCCUACGGGAGGCAGCGUAGGGAAUCUUCCGCAAUGGGCGAAAGCCUGACGGAGCAACGCCGCGUGAGUGAUGAAGGUCUUCGGAUCGUAAAACUCUGUUAUUAGGGAAGAACAUAUGUGUAAGUAACUGUGCACAUCUUGACGGUACCUAAUCAGAAAGCCACGGCUAACUACGUG
rnacentral:rRNA from 1 species